UAAAUGUAGAGAAACUGUAAUAUAACUUUUAGAAUAAAAUGUUUGUAUGAAACGUAACAAAUAUAAGAUCAUUUUUUCACAAUUAUUAUUAUGUUUAAAUUGCGUAAAUACACAUUUUAUAUACCAUUUAGUGGUAAUACAAUAGGUACAAUAUAGUAAUAAACUGAUAACUGAUAAUGAUAACAACGGAUAUACUAUAUUAAUAUUUUAAAUACAAAACCAACACGGAAACACUAAAAACAAAUGAAAUAAAAGAAAUUUAUAUUCUAAGAUUCAUGAGACGGUACCUGAUCGCCUACCGGCUACCAUAUAUAAUAUUUCAAAACGUUGUAUCAAUGCAAUACACCAUUCAAAAUUAUGAACACCGUAUGAGAAAUCGUGAAUAGUUGUUGUAAAGUUCAGAUAAAAUAUAUAAAUGCCCAGGCUAAAGUACAUCGGUUUUAUGAUACUAACAUACGCGAGGCGGAUAAUGUUAUAUCAGGCAGAGAACCUCUGGUCUAUAAUAUGAUCUGCUGUUAAAUUAACCAAAAGUACAUAAGUUAACACAAAGUAAUCAUAUUUAAUUUCAGAUAGACCUACCGCAGUAACAACUCUAGCAGUAGCCAUGCAUAAUAUACUUUCAAAUGUGAACUAAAUUUUUCACACAGGUUUCAAUCUGAAGAAAUAAAUAUUCAAGAGAGACAGCUGGAUAAUUCCAGCACAACAUCAAUAGCAGCGAAGCAGAUACAGAGGAAAUAAGACAUCUAGCAGCAACAAUCCACAAUGUACAUGAGCCAAAAACAAGGAAACCAUGAAUGGAAGAAAGGAUUAAGAACACAUGAAGAAUAUUAAUAUUUUCUUUUGAUACAAAACCCGUAACAUAAGCCAUAAAAAUUUUAUAAAAUUAUUUUAUACAUAACAUAUCCAUAUAAGAUUAAGGUAAAAAUCCAAAACCAAAUUUCAUAUCAUAAUAACUAUCUGUGGAAAUACAAAUUCAAUAACAAUUUAGUUUCAUGAAAAACAACCCAGUUUUGAUUUCACACAGAUGAAAUUAUAACCAAAAAAAUCAUUUUUAAAUGUAG